rnacentral:lncRNA from 1 species
AAUAUAGUAUUAUAUUGUGUGUAUUUUAUAGUGAAUUGAUCGUUGCUGUAACCGUGGCUUUUACUAUUUUUCUUGGUGUCAAAUUAAGAAUUAACGUGACCAUUUAAUUUAAGGACAAUUAUAAAACAAUAAUUUUAUAAUAAUGAAGGGUGAUUGGAUAGUGUUUGAAGUAUGGAUGGAUGGUUGUUUUGGGUAGCGAAUCUAAGUUACUAGUUUGUCAUUUUCUUU